CGGCUCUUCCUGCUUCACAAUAAGUAUACCCAGCCAAAACACAAAAUUUUAGAGUGAGAUCACACAAAAGCAUGUCAAUCAGUCAAUCAACUGCAUGUCAAUCCUAAACUAGUUGGGGUGGGCAUCCUAGCUCUUACAUAAGUAGAUCAAGCGCAAACACAAAACUUUAGCGAGAGAUGAAAUAGAAACAUAUACUCAAUCAUUAAUCAACUAUGCCCGCAAUCUCUAACCAUUUGAGUUCUCCUCUUACUACGCAAUGAUAGGCCCAACCCAAGCAUAAAACUUAAGAUGAGAGCAAAUAAAAGCAUAUCAAUCAUUCAACCAUUCCUCAAUCUCAAAUUAGUUAGGGUCAGCUAUACAAGUCAUCUCAUCCAUUCCGCUUUCUUUGGGGCCAUUUGUAGGAUGUGAAGAAAAGGGCACAGUUUUGGCCUAAAAUAAUCCCACAAGUAUCACUCUUAAUUUAACUUUAUCCUCGAAAUAUCACCUCUGAUAGAAAAAAAUCUUUUUAAACAUAAAUUGAGAACUUUUGAUUUCACACCUAUGGGAUUAAACUCUGCUACAUAAUGGGUCUCAUUGAGCCAACCCCAAAUAGAAUUUCAAACUCCUGAAAGUCUUAUAAGUCCUGAAAGAGAGUCUCAUUCCCUUACCUUACAUACACACAAUUCCAAAUCAAGCUUUCUCAUCUCCUUCGACAUACAAUAUCACAGUAAACUCAAACAACAUAAAUUCUGUUCACAAAAAGGUAUCAAUUUUUGAAGCAUAUGAAAAGUGGUGGCUGAUGCAAAACCAAGAAAAGGUAUGGCAGCAAAAGAAACAUAGUUGUACUUGGCAAUGACUUGAAUAUGACAUAGUAGACUGCUAAUGUGAAGGGAACCGAUGAGUGUUACUAAUUACUACUUUUUUAUUCGUUGAUAUCUUAUAUGCCAUAAUUUCAGAGAGAACAAAAGGGUCAACUAACAUGGUGUUCAUUAGCACUGGAAUACAAAUCCCUAUUAAGCCCGUGUUAUUCGCAGAUAUUCUCAGCAUGAAUUCUAUAUCCGCUCCACAUUAAAAUAAAAUCAGUACAACUCUAGACAAAAAUGAAGGUUAAACCAAACACUUAUCAAGCUCUUAGUACCGGGAAUACCAAGCUCUAAAUCUUAACGCAAGAACUUGACUAACCAAUAAGCAACCACCAUUGUCACAAAUUAAUCUUUUUUUACAACCAUGGUGUCCGGGCACAAGCUGGACUAACUCCACAUGGUACCUGCUGCCUCCCACAAGCACAUGCACCGAGUUUCACAAAUUAAUCCUUUUGCCAAUUUCAACUUUUGCAUGCUUGAAGGAAUAAAUAUGUCAACGGUGAUAUUUUGAGUAUGAAAUGUAAUAAUUGAGGGACUAUUUCAGCAAAAAAAACUCUAAACAGGCACAUCCUAGUGAAAUCAAUGUUUGAACAAACGUGCAUAAAAAAUAAAAAAUAAAAAGGGUUGAAACUUUACCUCGGAGGUACUUUUUGAUAGCUCUACGAAGGCGGAGAGGAACAAUAUGGCAACGUUCAGAUUGUUUAGCUGCGGAUUUGAGUGCUUCAGCGGUGAAUUUUGGAACCGUUUCUGAUACUAUUGACGCCAUUUCUGGUGGCGCUUGGCGAUUUCCGGCGAAUUUCUGGCAGAUUAGAAGCGGCAAAUUAGGGGUUUAAUGCUUCAUAGUAGGGUUUAAGGUCUGCUAUAGGGAAGGUCUCUUCGUUACAUUUGCAGUAGAAUGAAGUUGUUGCAUGUGUUGGGCUGUGAUGGGCCUGUGAGAGUACUUAUAGAGAGGGGGAU
rnacentral:lncRNA from 1 species